rnacentral:lncRNA from 1 species
CAAAGGGCACCUCUUCCUGGUGGAUGUCGGGUGUCCCAUCCAGAACUUUGCGGGGUCCCCUGAAGGACCCGUGGCGGAACCGGCCCCAAGUUCGUCGGAUUUCGCCUAUGUCUUCAGGUAAGACGCACAGAAGAAGGACGAUGAUCCGCCCUGCCCACUUCCGCAGACUGCAGUUUCCUGACUCUCAUCAGCUUUUACAAGCAGGGGAAACUGAGGCCAGGGACCGCUUCAAGGUGGCACAGUGAGCGAGGGCAGAGAACUACUCGAGAAUCAACUCCAGAUCCCCUGAAGUCCUAACAGUGAACUAUUGGUUCCAUUAGAAAAAUAAACUCAGAACCAUUCGAGGGAUGUUUAUUGGGUGCCUAGUGAGUGCACCAGCCCAUCCAUCCAAUGAGGGGCAGAACCCAUGGGUCUCUGGCUCCAAGUGCAAUUUUCUUCCAACUACACCUCAGUGUAUUAAAAAGGGGAGAGUUCCAUGUCCUAGAACCAAGACCUGCACAGUCUAAUCCCGCACUACCCAAUGGAAACAUGAUGUGGGCCACGUAUGUAAUUUAGAAUUUUCUAGUAGCCAUAUUUUAAAGAUUUUUAAAAACCAGGUUAUAUGGACUCGAACAUUUUAUUUAACUCGUAUAUCCCAAAUAUUAUCAUUUCAACAUAUGAUCAGUGCUUUUACAUUGAUACUGCUUCAGCUUUUAAGUUUAAAUUAACUAAAAUCGGGGGCACCCGGGUGGCUCAGUCGGUUGAGCCUCCCGACUUCAGCUCAGGUCAUAAUCUCACGGUCUGUGAGUUCGAGCCCCGCGACGGACUCUGUGCUGACAGCUCAGAGCCUGGAGCCUGCUUCAGAUUCUGGGUCUCCCUCUCUCUCUGCCCCUCCCCCACUCAUGCUCUGUCUCUCUCUGUCUCAGAAAUAAAUAAACAUUAAAAAAAAAUAAAUUAACUAAAAUUGAAAUUUCAUUUCUUCAGUCACACUAACCAGAUUGCAAGGGCUCAGUUGUCACAUGUGGCUAGUGGCUACUGCGAUGCACAGGUCUCGCCUUUUCCUGCCUUUCUACACUUGCUCCCCUCUGCUUGGAUGGUAUUUCCCCAUCCCCUUUAUCUAGUUAACUCCUGCUCUUCCUCCAAGCUUGCCUACAUCCUUACGUAAUCUCAGCUCAUCUCACAGCACUGCGUAUGUUCCUUCAAAACAGUGGUCACAGUUAUCAUUCACAAUUAUUUAUAUAAUUGUUUGAUUACCGCAUGUCUCCCCUGGCAGACAGAAGUCCGUUAGAGCAGGGAGCAAGUCUGGUUUCGCUCACCACCCUGUCUCCAGGAAGAACACACCGCUGGCUUGUGUCGGGCACUCAGUAAGUAGUUCGUCAUUGCUGAAGGCAAAACUGAAUCCUGAUUCCAAAGUCAGCAUUGUUUUAACGUAUUUAACAUGCUUAAAAUUGUUUAACGUGUUAACUUUAAACAGAGGGCAUUCGCACUUCGGCUGCCAGGAUACUUGCUACAUGAGAGCAGAACGUUUGCUAUUCUCCUGCCCCCAACACCGUGCAGUGUUGUUCAUUCCAUGAAGUUCAUUGUCUCCCCCAUCCGUUUUUCCUCCCCAAGUAGUGAAGGUAAAGACUUGUCAUAUCUCAGAGAAUACCUAAAAGGGUAUGAUGGAAAAUUCAGAAGAGAACGGCAUGCGUAUCUUAAACAUUCCUUUUAAGGAGCAUAGUAAUAGUCAGUUCUUCCAUUAGGCAUGAGUAAGAAUGUUAAGUUAAAGCAAGAGCCUUCUUGACAGGGUUGCCCUAAAAGCCUGCUUUUCAGAGAACAUGCUAUAGUUUUCCAGUCAUGCUGGGGAGUGAGUAGGAGGAAAACAAGGGAGCCCUGCAGUGCACCUGCUUCCACCUUACCCCUCUCCCCCUUGCCUACAUGGCUUAUGGCUGGGAGCAGGAAAGAGGAAAUAGUAUUGACCUGGGCCUGGGACAGCCUUUCCUGCAAUCCAGCUGACUUGGGACAGCCCCAGGCCCUAAUGGAUAGCUUCUCUGGACUAGAAAGAAGCGUGGUGAAUGAGUCUAAAAUGGAAUCAAAUAUUGAGUGUGCCGAACCCCUAGGGAGCAACUUGCCUGAUGGAAAAAGGUGUGGAAGCAAAUAAUUCCCGUUCAGAAUUGUAAGUGCUGUAAUGGAGAGAUGAAAGCAGAAUCCUGAACUUUCCAGAGGAGGGGUGGUCACUAAUGGCCUAGAGUAAUUCAGGAAGGUUUUCUAAAAGAUGUGUCACCUGGGAUGUGCAUUGACUAGAUGGAAUUGCGUGUGUAAAGGCAUAGAGGCCAGCAGCAUAGCACAGCAGGGACGAGGAGCAAUUUCAGAGGGGCGGGCAUAUAGGAUGAGUGGUCGCGUAGAAAAGGGCAGAGCAGAAGGCAUCAACUGAAGAAGAGGGAGAGAGGAUGUGAUGAGAGGGGCCUUGGUUAAUUUUCCCACUAAACUACCUUUCCUCUCUCCUUCCAUUAUGUAUGAGCUUCUUGCGGGCCGAUCUGAGUCUUUACUUCCUUAGAAACAGGCCUAUGCCACCAGGCUCAGGAUAUGGAAGAUACACAAAUAGUAGAAUGAACUCCUGGUUAAUAAGCAAGGAUCCAGGAGGGCAGUCCAGCCGGAGUGUUCUGAAGGCAGGAGGAAGAGUAGUGAUGGGGCCAGCAUUCUGGGAGGGGGCAGAAAGCCUCAGGUAGAUCACCAGCUUCAUGCUGAGGAGAUAGGCCCAGUAUCAUAGAAUCAGAGCAGCUGAGAGCCGAAAAAGGGUCUUAGGAAUCUAAUCCAAAUCUCUGACUUUGCAGAUGAGCCUCAGAGAGACAGGAAUUUGAUUUCCUUUCUAAUUUGGAAACUGAUUUGCUGGGUGCUCUGGAGCCCUGGCCUUUCCAACACUCUAGUCUCCUUACUGUAAAAACUAGAACAGCUUUCUUGGCAAACAGGGGGAACAUCGACAGGCCAGAAAAAGUUGAUGUGUCUGAAAUCCUCAGUCAAGAAGGGCGUGUCAGAUGAAGGCCUUUAUCCCCCGUGUCACAGGCAGCGUGCACCUUGCCAUCAGCCCUGCUUACCAGACGAGCGUGGUUGUGCUUUCUAAGGUGGUUCUAUGGUAUUUGUGAUUUCCAGGAGGCUGGCUGAACAGAGAACAAGAUCGGAGUGGGAAAUGAGAGAUUC